rnacentral:rRNA from 1 species
AUUUAGUAGACAGAAGCCUCGGCGGAAGAUUACUAAUGAGAGUGGCGAACGGGUGAGUAACGCGUGAGCAACCUGCCUAUGACAGUGGGAUAGCCUCGGGAAACCGGGAUUAAUACCGCAUAAAAUCGUAGAAACACAUGUUUUAACGGUCAAAGAUUUAUCGGUCAUAGAUGGGCUCGCGUCUGAUUAGCUAGUUGGUGAGAUAACAGCCCACCAAGGCGACGAUCAGUAGCCGGUCUGAGAGGAUGAACGGCCACAUUGGAACUGAGACACGGUCCAAACUCCUACGGGAGGCAGCAGUGGGGAAUAUUGCACAAUGGGGGGAACCCUGAUGUAGCGACGCCGCGUGAACGAAGAAGGUAUUCGUAUCGUAAAGUUCUGUCCUAUGGGAAG